AACGAACGCUGGCGGCGUGCUUAACACAUGCAAGUCGAACGUGAAAGGCUUCGGCCGAGUAAAGUGGCGCACGGGUGAGCAACGCGUGGGUAAUCUGCCCUUGGGCGGGGGAUAACCUCUCGAAAGGGGGGCUAAUACCGCAUGAGACCACGGCUUCUCGGGGCUGUGGGAAAAGGUGGGUCGCAAGGCCUGCCGCCUGAGGAUGAGCCCGCGUACCAUUAGGUUGUUGGUGGGGUAAUGGCCUACCAAGCCGAAGAUGGUUAGCUGGUCUGAGAGGACGAUCAGCCACACUGGGACUGAGACACGGCCCAGACUCCUACGGGAGGCAGCAGUGGGGAAUAUUGCGCAAUGGGGGAAACCCUGACGCAGCAACGCCGCGUGUGUGAAGAAGGCCUUCGGGUCGUAAGCACUGUUGGGAGGAACGAGCCGCUCGUGGGAAGUAUCUGCGAGCCCGACGGUACCUCCUGAGGAAGCACCGGCUAACUCCGUGCCAGCAGCCGCGGUAAUGUAGUC
rnacentral:rRNA from 1 species